GGCUAUGGCUCAGCGGUAGAGCACUCGCCUCGCACGUGCGAAACCCUGGGUUCAAUCCUCAGCACCA
rnacentral:tRNA from 1 species